rnacentral:rRNA from 1 species
UACGAAGGGGGCUAGCGUUGCUCGGAAUCGACUGGGCGUAAAGGGUGCGUAGGCGGGUCUUUAGGUCAGGGUGAAAUCCUGGAGCUCAACUCCAGAACUGCCUUCAAUACUGGCAUCUCGAGUCCGGAAGAGGUAAGUGAAACUCUAGUGUAGAGGUGGAAUUCGUAGAUAUUAGGAAGAACACCAGUGGCGAAGGCGGCUUACUGGUCCGGUACUGACGCUGAGGUGCGAAAGCGUGGGGAGCAAACAGG